UUGGAAGCUGAAUCGACGAUCAAAAGUUAAGUACCUAACCUUUGCACGGAAAGCAAAACCGUACGCUUGUAAAGCUCAUCUGAAAAUUUAAAGACAAUAUAAUAUAAUAUGCACAUAUUAAUUAUAAGCACAAUUGAAUAUUUAAAACCACAUUUAUUCAUACAAUGGCAUUAGCCAUUCAAUACUCAAUUCAUAAAUACACCAUUUCAUACCAUACUCUGUAACACCCCUUACCCGAGACCGUUUCCGGAGUCGAGCACGAGGCAUUACUUAGCUUAUCUUACCAAUUCGGAGCAUAAAAACUAGGUUUGAAAAUUUAUUUCAUUAUUCGCAGCAAAUCUGUCCAAUCGCGCAGCAGUUACUAAAUUAAUUAUAACUUGAGCUACAGAACUCAAAAUUUAAUUCCGUAAAUUUUCCCUGAAACUAGACUCAUAUAUCUACUCACCAUAAAAUUUUUAGAAUUUUUGGUUCAGCAAAUUAGUACAGUUUAUUAGUUAAAGUCUCCCCUGUUUCACCACCUGACUGCCCUGACCUCUAGUCACUAAAAAUAAGUUUUCUCACUGUAGGAUUUUCAUAUGAAGUUCUUACUUGUUUCUAAAGAAAAUAGACUCAUUAAGAAAUCUAAGCAUGUAAAUUUCAACUCAUAACCAUUUUUGUACAAUUUGUAAUUAUUUUCUAAACUCAGAACAGGGGACUCCAAAAACAGUUCUGACCCUAUCUUACUAAAAUUCACAUAUCUUAAAAUAUAAAUUUCCUUUUUCUACACCGUUAUUUUUCCAUGAAAAUAGACUCAACAAGCUUUAAUUCCAUAUAUCAUUCACCCUCUAAUUCAUUUUAUACUAUCUUGGGUGAUUUUUCAAAUUCACGUCACUGUGCUGCCUGAAUUCUGUUUCUUUGCAAAAUUUUAUCCUUUCAUGAUUUCCAUGCAUAAUUUAUCACCUAAUCUUUCAUAACAACAAACACCUUCAUCCUUAAUCAUUUUAAUAACCAUACAUAAUCAAAUACUUACACAUCACUCAUUAGCAAAAUCAUCAUUACAAACAUACAAAAUAACUAAAUCCCUAUACAUGCCAUAACUCAAACGUGUUUCGAUAUAAAAUACCGAGCAGUUGUAGUUGAUAGUGAGGACGAUCUCCGACUUCUUUAGGAUCCUUAAAGUAGCUUUGCAAUACUAUAAGAGAAAGAGAAAUAAAAGAAGUAAGCAUAAAGCUUAGUAAGUUUACUAGCAAAUAAAUAACAAUAUUUAACUUAAAUAAUUAAACUCAAUGUCUAUAUCUCUAGUUUACUCUUUAGUUAAUCUCAUACUAGUUCUCUUACUUGUUUACUUAGAAUACUUGUGUGCAUAACUUACUCAAUCCUUGCUGCAUCGUUGAACAUCAAUUGAUAGUAUAAUAAGUUCUUAAGUCUUACAACUUACCUGAGCUUGCCGUUUAUGCUUUAAACUGAACUUUCAUGAACAUGAUUCGUUUACAAGCCCGUUGAGCUACAUUGGAAUAAUAAGGAUACUCGGGUCUCUUCUGAUAAUAACAUGCCAAAGCCAUGUCCCAGACAUGGUCUUACAUGGGAUGUUCUCGUGAUGGUGCCCAUGCCAUGUCCCAGACAUGGUCUUAUAGGGGACCUCUCAUCUCGGUGCCAACGCCAUGUCCCAGACAUGGUCUUACAUGGGACCUCUCGUCUCGGUGCCCAUGCCAUGUCCCAGACAUGGUCUUACAGGGGACCUCUCAUGAUCUUAAGGAUACCAAUGCCAUGUCCCAGACAUGGUCUUACAUGGGAUCUCUUUACCCAAAUGUCAUGACAUUCGUAUCCAGUACCAUCCUUAUGUAUCAACGGGACUUUUAAAUUUUAAUUCUCUAUCAUUUCAUGCUUGGAUCAUCAUCAAAUAAAUUCAUAAAAUAAAUUCAUAAUUGCUGGAAAUUAACAGCAUUAAUAAUAAAUAUUGAAAUAUUGCAUUUAUUUACCGUAAACUUACCUUGGUACCAAUUAUAGCCAAAUUCACCAACUUAGUCUUCAAAUUUAUUCUUCC
rnacentral:lncRNA from 1 species